rnacentral:rRNA from 1 species
AUUGAACGCUGGCGGCAUGCCUUACACAUGCAAGUCGAACGGCAGCACGGACUUCGGUCUGGUGGCGAGUGGCGAACGGGUGAGUAAUAUAUCGGAACAUACCCCUAGAGUGGGGGAUAACGUAGCGAAAGUUACGCUAAUACCGCAUACGAACUAAGGUUGAAAGUGGGGAUCGCAAGACCUCAUGCUCAUGGAGUGGCCGAUAUCUGAUUAGCUAGUUGGUGAGGUAAAGGCUCACCAAGGCGACGAUCAGUAGCUGGUUUGAGAGAACGACCAGCCACACUGGAACUGAGACACGGUCCAGACUCCUACGGAGGCAGCAGUGGGAA